AUUGAACGCUGGCGGCAUGCCUUACACAUGCAAGUCGAACGGUAACGGGCCUUCGGGUGCCGACGAGUGGCGAACGGGUGAGUAAUACAUCGGAACGUGCCCGAUCGUGGGGGAUAACGAGGCGAAAGCUUUGCUAAUACCGCAUACGAUCUACGGAUGAAAGCAGGGGACCGCAAGGCCUUGCGCGGACGGAGCGGCCGAUGGCAGAUUAGGUAGUUGGUGAGAUAAAAGCUUACCAAGCCGACGAUCUGUAGCUGGUCUGAGAGGAUGAUCAGCCACACUGGGACUGAGACACGGCCCAGACUCCUACGGGAGGCAGCAGUGGGGAAUUUUGGACAAUGGGCGCAAGCCUGAUCCAGCCAUGCCGCGUGCAGGAUGAAGGCCCUCGGGUUGUAAACUGCUUUUGUACGGAACGAAAAGCCUUCUUUUAAUACAGGAGGGUCAUGACGGUACCGUAAGAAUAAGCACCGGCUAACUACGUG
rnacentral:rRNA from 1 species